GGAACUCUUACUGUUUGUUCAAUGGCUUUGCUAGGCCAAUGGAAGGAUGAAAUUGAAAUCCAUUCUCAGCCAGGAAUGCUUCGGUUAUAUGUGCAAUAUGGUGUUGACAGAACUACUCAUCCAAUUGCAUUAGCACAGCAUGCUGUGGUCUUAACGACAUAUGGUGUCUUAGGUGCAGCUUGUAAAUCUGAUGGGGACCCCGUACUGGUAUAGAGUGGUACUAGAUGAAGCGCAUACAAUCAUAUCCUCAAGGACCCGAGAGGCUCAUACAAUCAUAUCUAGGCCUGUCAAUGGAAGAAUAUCCGUCGCAUAUUUAGAAAUCCGAUAUCCGACAGGUUAAGCACUGUCGGAUAUUCGGUAUCCGAUUAUAUCCUAUAGGAUAUCAAAAUAAGAUAUCGAUUCCGAUAGGUUAAGCU